rnacentral:misc_RNA from 1 species
UGUUAUUCCAAAUUUCCUCCAACCAGCCGGUAGACAUAAUAAACGGAAUGGCAUCUGCAUCUGUGCUGCAGCGUUUGACACAGCGCGCUAAACAGGCAGAAUCUAUGAUAGCUGCCUUGAAACAGCAAAUUGAAAACAUCAGACAGAAUGCAGCCAUCACUGUAUCUAAACCCGAGGAAGGGAGAUUAAAGUCAGAAAAUCAGAAGUUAAAAGCUGAGGUGGAAACAUUGAAAUCUCAACUGAUUUUGGCUGAAAUAAGGAAUGGAGUAAAACAAGUUAACCUACCUACAAAUAGGAGUGUUGUCAAGGCAGAACCCCCCAAAAAAGAAUCAGCAGCUCCCCCAGAGGUCAAACCAGGGGUCAAACAGGCACCUGCUGCUGGUGACAAACCAGCUCAGAAAUCUGAGAAACCCGACAAAAAGGAGAAGAAAGAUAAAAAGAAACCUGCAGCUGAAGGAGAGCCAAAAGCCAAGAAAGGUAAGAAUGAGCCUGUGGGUGAGGAGAAGCUAGACGUGUCCCGCCUGGACUUCAGGGUGGGGCAGAUAGUGGACGUGAAGAAGCACCCCGACGCUGACACCCUGUAUGUGGAGGAGGUGGACCUUGGGGAGGGGAGGAACCGCACAGUGGUGUCUGGCUUGGUUAAUCACAUACCUAUAGAGCAGAUGCAAAACAAGAUAGCAGUAUUCAUGUGUAAUUUGAAACCAGCCAAAAUGAGGGGGAUCCUUUCGGAAGCUAUGAUCAUGUGUGCUAGUACCCCCGAGAAAGUGGAGAUUCUGAAUGUGCCUGCAGGUUCUGUGAUAGGGGAAAUCCUGAUGCUCAGCUGAACCCCAAGAAAAAAGUGUGGGAAACCCUUGCACCUGACCUGAAGGUCAACAAAGAAAAGGUGGCCGAGUUCAGAGGGGAACCGUUACAAAUCGAGGGCAAGGGUGUGCUGACUUCGACUACUCUGAGUGGCGUAAAAAUUAAAUGACUUCUACAUCUAGCUAUGAUAUAAUCAUUGUCAGUCUUUAAGUCAGAUACAUCUCUGAUAAUUUAUGACAAUUUUGAGAGGAUCAUGCGCAAUCAGAAAUACACACAAUAAAUGUUCUGAGUUUUG